AUAUGAUGAGCCUUUUAGAUGACGAGUCCGAUCACAUUGUCUUGAGGUUUCCUCCUGUCAGUGUCCAUGACGAGUCUUUCAAAUUUUUACCAUUCAUGCUUUUCUGAAC
rnacentral:snoRNA from 1 species